UCUUUCACCUUUUCUAAUGCCUGUUUGGGCGGUUGCCAAUGAACAACCCCCUGGGCCAAAGACAUGGCAUUUUUCGCUCCUCGGAUCAAUUCCUGUAUCUGAACCAUGACCGGCAUCUCAGUCUCCAAAGCCCUCGUGGCAAGCUUUCCAUAGGAACCCAUCUCUGUUUUUCCUUCGACACAAAAUCAACCAAUAAUCUCUCUCACAAAUCUCAGAGAUAAGCUCUUGUUUAACCCCAAUUCUCUUUGACCCACCUGCUAAAAAGCCUCUAAGACACCCCCAAAUUUAACAACUUUUAGCACAAAAUGAUGAAGAGAGCGAUAGGUUUUGCUUUAUAAGGUUAACAAACGAGUUAGGCAAGUCUCAACCACCCCCACCAAGCAGACUACUAUAAUGUACAAGUCAGGUAUAAGAUUAGUUGCGCACGCCUCGCUGCUUCUUUGUAUGCUACUCAAGCCAAAAGGGCCAAAAUGCGUAAUCGCUAUUUGUGAGUGCUAAGUUUUUUAUUUGUUUUCCCCUUUUAUUGUUCUUUACUUUGCUUUUGUCUGUUUUCACUUCGAACGUUGACCAGCAAAGAGUGAAAGUAUAUAAUAUAAUAGAAAUUAGAAUCGAAAUCAAAAUGAUUUUGCUCUCCUAGCAAGAACAAUGAACAACAAUAUGUCUAGCAGAGACCAACAAAUUAAUAACAAAGCAAACUUUUUCUUCCCU
rnacentral:misc_RNA from 1 species